AGAGUUUGAUUAUGGCUCAGGAUGAACGCUGGCGGCGUGCCUAACACAUGCAAGUCGAACGGGGUUACUGGCAGCGGAGAUUUCGGUCAAAGCAGCCUUAACCUAGUGGCGGACGGGUGAGUAACGCGUGGGGAACCUGCCCUGUACUGGGGGAUAACAGUGAGAAAUCACUGCUAAUACCGCAUAAGCGCACAGCAUCGCAUGAUGCAGUGUGAAAAACUGAGGUGGUACAGGAUGGCUCCGCGUUGGAUUAGCCAGUUGGCGGGUAACGGCCCACCAAAGCGACGAUCCAUAGCCGGCCUGAGAGGGUGAACGGCCACAUUGGGACUGAGACACGGCCCAGACUCCUACGGGAGGCAGCAGUGGGGAAUAUUGCACAAUGGGGGAAACCCUGAUGCCAGCGACGCCGCGUGAAGGAAGAAGUAUCUCGGUAUGUAAACUUCUAUCAGCAGGGAAGAUGAUGACGGUACCUGACUAAGAAGCCCCGGCUAACUACGUGCCAGCCGCCGC
rnacentral:rRNA from 1 species